rnacentral:rRNA from 1 species
UACAGAGGUCCCAAGCGUUGUUCGGAUUCACUGGGCGUAAAGGGCGCGUAGGCGGCCUGCUAAGUCGAACGUGAAAUCCCUGGGCUCAACCCAGGAACUGCGUCCGAUACUGGUUGGCUUGAAUCCGGGAGAGGGAUGUGGAAUUCCAGGUGUAGCGGUGAAAUGCGUAGAUAUCUGGAGGAACACCGGUGGCGAAGGCGACAUCCUGGACCGGUAUUGACGCUGAGGCGCGAAAGCCAGGGGAGCAAACGGG